AGCGAACGCUGGCGGCAGGCCUAACACAUGCAAGUCGAACGAAGUCUUCGGACUUAGUGGCGGACGGGUGAGUAACACGUGGGAACGUGCCUUUAGGUUCGGAAUAACUCAGGGAAACUUGUGCUAAUACCGAAUGUGCCCUUCGGGGGAAAGAUUUAUCGCCUUUAGAUCGGCCCGCGUCUGAUUAGCUAGUUGGUGAGGUAAAGGCUCACCAAGGCGACGAUCAGUAGCUGGUCUGGGAGGAUGAUCAGCCACAUUGGGACUGAGACACGGCCCAAACCCCUACGGGAGGCAGCAGUGGGGAAUCUUGCGCAAUGGGCGAAAGCCUGACGCAGCCAUGCCGCGUGAAUGAUGAAGGUCUUAGGAUUGUAAAAUUCUUUCACCGGGGACGAUAAUGACGGUACCCGGAGAAGAAGCCCCGGCUAACUUCGUGCCAGCAGCCGCGGUAA
rnacentral:rRNA from 1 species